GAUGAACGCUGGCGGCGUGCUUAACACAUGCAAGUCGAACGGUGAAGGGGAGCUUGCUUCCUGGAUCAGUGGCGAACGGGUGAGUAACACGUGAGCAACCUGCCCCAGUCUCUGGGAUAAGCGCUGGAAACGGCGUCUAAUACUGGAUACGGACCACAGUCGCAUGGCUCGUGGUUGGAAAGAUUUUUCGGUCUGGGAUGGGCUCGCGGCCUAUCAGCUUGUUGGUGAGGUAAUGGCUCACCAAGGCGUCGACGGGUAGCCGGCCUGAGAGGGUGACCGGCCACACUGGGACUGAGACACGGCCCAGACUCCUACGGGAGGCAGCAGUGGGGAAUAUUGCACAAUGGGCGGAAGCCUGAUGCAGCAACGCCGCGUGAGGGAUGACGGCCUUCGGGUUGUAAACCUCUUUUAGCAAGGAAGAAGCUUUUUGUGACGGUACUUGCAGAAAAAGCGCCGGCUAACUACGUGCCAGCAGCCGCCGUAA
rnacentral:rRNA from 1 species